CAGAUUGAACGCUGGCGGCAGGCCUAACACAUGCAAGUCGAGCGGUAACAGAAAGUAGCUUGCUACUUUGCUGACGAGCGGCGGACGGGUGAGUAAUGCUUGGGAACAUGCCUUGAGGUGGGGGACAACAGUUGGAAACGACUGCUAAUACCGCAUAAUGUCUACGGACCAAAGGGGGCUUCGGCUCUCGCCUUUAGAUUGGCCCAAGUGGGAUUAGCUAGUUGGUGAGGUAAUGGCUCACCAAGGCGACGAUCCCUAGCUGGUUUGAGAGGAUGAUCAGCCACACUGGGACUGAGACACGGCCCAGACUCCUACGGGAGGCAGCAGUGGGGAAUAUUGCACAAUGGGCGCAAGCCUGAUGCAGCCAUGCCGCGUGUGUGAAGAAGGCCUUCGGGUUGUAAAGCACUUUCAGUCAGGAGGAAAGGUUAGUAGUUAAUACCUGCUAGCUGUGACGUUACUGACAGAAGAAGCACCGGCUAACUCCGUGCCAGCAGCCGCGGUAAUACGGAGGGUGCGAGCGUUAAUCGGAAUUACUGGGCGUAAAGCGUACGCAGGCGGUUUGUUAAGCGAGAUGUGAAAGCCCCGGGCUCAACCUGGGAACUGCAUUUCGAACUGGCAAACUAGAGUGUGAUAGAGGGUGGUAGAAUUUCAGGUGUAGCGGUGAAAUGCGUAGAGAUCUGAAGGAAUACCGAUGGCGAAGGCAGCCACCUGGUCAACACUGACGCUCAUGUACGAAAGCGUGGGGAGCAAGCAGGAUUAGAUACCCUGGUAGUCCACGCCGUAAACGAUGUCUACUAGAAGCUCGGAACCUCGGUUCUGUUUUUCAAAGCUAACGCAUUAAGUAGACCGCCUGGGGAGUACGGCCGCAAGGUCAAAACUCAAAUGAAUUGACGGGGGCCCGCACAAGCGGUGGAGCAUGUGGUUUAAUUCGAUGCAACGCGAAGAACCUUACCUACACUUGACAUACAGAGAACUUACUAGAGAUAGUUUGGUGCCUUCGGGAACUCUGAUACAGGUGC
rnacentral:rRNA from 1 species